CAUGUGUUGCUCGGUAUGUGUGUAGACAUAUGCAUACACACACAUGUAUACACGCGUACAAAUGCACACUAUAAAAAGUGG
rnacentral:miRNA from 1 species